CUUUCCCCAUUCGGCCAAGAUAUAGGCUCCUUUUCAUCAAAUCCUCCAAUACUUAACCCAGUCCUAUAAUCUCACCUGGAGUAACUUAAUGUCGUCCUUACU